CCUACGGGUGGCAGCAGUGGGGAAUAUUGCACAAUGGGGGAAACCCUGAUGCAGCGACGCCGCGUGAGUGAAGAAGUAUUUCGGUAUGUAAAGCUCUAUCAGCAGGGAAGAAAAUGACGGUACCUGACUAAGAAGCCCCGGCUAACUACGUGCCAGCAGCCGCGGUAAUACGUAGGGGGCAAGCGUUAUCCGGAUUUACUGGGCGUAAAGCGCUCGUAGGCGGUAUGUCAAGUCAAGGGUGAAAUCCCCGCGCUCAACGUGGGAACUGCCUUUGAAACUGGCAAACUGGAGUGUGUGAGAGGAUAGUGGAAUUCCAGGUGUAGGAGUGAAAUCCGUAGAUAUCUGGAGGAACAUCAGUGGCGAAGGCGGUCUGCUGGACAGCAACUGACGGUGAGGCGCGAAAGCGUGGGGAGCAAACAGGAUUAGAUACCCUGUAGUC
rnacentral:rRNA from 1 species